UGGCGGCAGGCUUAACACAUGCAAGUCGAGCGGAGAGAGGUAGCUUGCUACUGAUCUUAGCGGCGGACGGGUGAGUAAUGCUUAGGAAUCUGCCUAUUAGUGGGGGACAACAUUUCGAAAGGAAUGCUAAUACCGCAUACGUCCUACGGGAGAAAGCAGGGGAUCUUCGGACCUUGCGCUAAUAGAUGAGCCUAAGUCGGAUUAGCUAGUUGGUGGGGUAAAGGCCUACCAAGGCGACGAUCUGUAGCGGGUCUGAGAGGAUGAUCCGCCACACUGGGACUGAGACACGGCCCAGACUCCUACGGGAGGCAGCAGUGGGGAAUAUUGGACAAUGGGCGCAAGCCUGAUCCAGCCAUGCCGCGUGUGUGAAGAAGGCCUUAUGGUUGUAAAGCACUUUAAGCGAGGAGGAGGCUACUUUAGUUAAUACCUAGAGAUAGUGGACGUUACUCGCAGAAUAAGCACCGGCUAACUCUGUGCCAGCAGCCGCGGUAAUACAGAGGGUGCAAGCGUUAAUCGGAUUUACUGGGCGUAAAGCGCGCGUAGGCGGCUAAUUAAGUCAAAUGUGAAAUCCCCGAGCUUAACUUGGGAAUUGCAUUCGAUACUGGUUAGCUAGAGUGUGGGAGAGGAUGGUAGAAUUCCAGGUGUAGCGGUGAAAUGCGUAGAGAUCUGGAGGAAUACCGAUGGCGAAGGCAGCCAUCUGGCCUAACACUGACGCUGAGGUGCGAAAGCAUGGGGAGCAAACAGGAUUAGAUACCCUGGUAGUCCAUGCCGUAAACGAUGUCUACUAGCCGUUGGGGCCUUUGAGGCUUUAGUGGCGCAGCUAACGCGAUAAGUAGACCGCCUGGGGAGUACGGUCGCAAGACUAAAACUCAAAUGAAUUGACGGGGGCCCGCACAAGCGGUGGAGCAUGUGGUUUAAUUCGAUGCAACGCGAAGAACCUUACCUGGCCUUGACAUAGUAAGAACUUUCCAGAGAUGGAUUGGUGCCUUCGGGAACUUACAUACAGGUGCUGCAUGGCUGUCGUCAGCUCGUGUCGUGAGAUGUUGGGUUAAGUCCCGCAACGAGCGCAACCCUUUUCCUUAUUUGCCAGCGAGUAAUGUCGGGAACUUUAAGGAUACUGCCAGUGACAAACUGGAGGAAGGCGGGGACGACGUCAAGUCAUCAUGGCCCUUACGGCCAGGGCUACACACGUGCUACAAUGGUCGGUACAAAGGGUUGCUACCUAGCGAUAGGAUGCUAAUCUCAAAAAGCCGAUCGUAGUCCGGAUUGGAGUCUGCAACUCGACUCCANAAGUCGGAAUCGCUAGUAAUCGCGGAUCAGAAUGCCGCGGUA
rnacentral:rRNA from 1 species